rnacentral:snRNA from 1 species
AUACUUAUUCGGUGCCGGGAACUCCGUAAUCAGAAAAGCGGAGACUCCAGGAGGAGGUUCUUCCAUUGCACUUCGGAGGGGCUGAGACCUGCCACUUUCCCGAACUGGGAAAGAUGGGGCAUGCAAUUUUUGGUAGUGGGGGUUGCGCGAACGCAGACCCCCA